UCCGGUUUGAACUCAGAUCAUGUGCGGGGUAGAGGUCGAACAGACCUUGUGAAAAUAGCUUCUGCACUAUUUGUAGCCGCAAUUCAACAUCGAGGUCGCAAACAAUUAUUUUAAUAAGGGCUUAAAUAAUUAUAACGCUGUUAUCCCUAGAGUACCUUAUUCGUCUAAUUUAAUAAAGAUCAUUGUUAAUAUAAAUAGUCCUAUUUAA
rnacentral:rRNA from 1 species